GAUGAACGCUGGCGGCGUGCCUAAUACAUGCAAGUCGAGCGAACGGACGAGAAGCUUGCUUCUCUGAUGUUAGCGGCGGACGGGUGAGUAACACGCGGAUAACCUACCUAUAAGACUGGGAUAACUUCGGGAAACCGGAGCUAAUACCGGAUGAUAUUUUGAACCGCAUGGUUCAAAAGUGAAAGACGGUCUUGCUGUCACUUAUAGAUGGAUCCGCGCUGCAUUAGCUAGUUGGUAAGGUAACGGCUUACCAAGGCAACGAUGCAUAGCCGACCUGAGAGGGUGAUCGGCCACACUGGAACUGAGACACGGUCCAGACUCCUACGGGAGGCAGCAGUAGGGAAUCGUCCGCAAUGGGCGAAAGCCUGACGGAGCAACGCCGCGUGAGUGAUGAAGGUCUUCGGAUCGUAAAACUCUGUUAUUAGGGAAGAACAUAUGUGUAAGUAACUGUGCACAUCUUGACGGUACCUAAUCAGAAAGCCACGGCUAACUACGUG
rnacentral:rRNA from 1 species